CCUCCCCUCAAAUGAAAUCUGAGAAGACGUAGCAGCUUGGAUCUAAAUCAAUGGGAGAGAGUUUACAUCUCAUGCCUAUCACUGCCCCACCACUCAAUGGAACUGACUAUCUGAACUGCUGUUCCAGAAAGACUUUGCCAGACAAUGGGCAUGAUUCCUCUGCUCCUUUUUGUCAAUUCCCAUGGAAAACUAGGUGGCACCGUGGAUAGAGCUGGACCUGACCAUCACAAAGUCACCAAGAAUCAAAUGACUCAGUAUUUAUAAAGUGCUUAACACA